AGUUCAUCUGUAAUUCAGUCCCUUUAUCGUGAGUCCUGACUAUAUGGCAGGUCAUGGAUAAAUCGUCAAACCUCAUCAUCAGUCAUAUGAUAGAUUCGAUCAGCUCAAGUCCAAUUGUGAUCAUUAUAAAAAAAAUUUUCAUCAAUUAUACUGCUGUGGCCACAGACUCUUAGAUUUAGCCUCUCAAAUCUCAUAGGGCUACUUGUUUCUAUCAAGGUCGAUAGAUUCUAUCUUGAUGCGCAUCCUACUCCUACAGUGGAUCAAUUAUCACCAAUAUCCACUACAAGGGCUCAUUGAGAUCAUGUUUAUGUGUCAGUCAAACUUUAGUAGUUCACUACGAGCAGUCAUAUCAUCGCAGGUCAAAAGACCAUUCACACAACUACAGCAUCGAAACAAUUACUGACGAUCGAGUAAAAAUCUAAAUG
rnacentral:lncRNA from 1 species